rnacentral:rRNA from 1 species
CCCAGACUCCUACGGGAGGCAGCAGUGGGGAAUAUUGCACAAUGGGGGGAACCCUGAUGCAGCGACGCCGCGUGGGUGAAGGAGUACUUCGGUACGUAAAGCCCUAUCAGCAGGAAAGAAAAUGACGGUACCUGACUAAGAAGCCCCGGCUAACUACGUGCCAGCAGCCGCGGUAAUACGUAGGGGGCAAGCGUUAUCCGGAUUUACUGGGUGUAAAGGGAGCGUAGACGGCAGUGCAAGUCCGGAGUGAAAGCCCGGGGCUCAACCCUGGGGCUGCUCUGGAAACUGUAAAGCUGGAGUGCGGGAGGGGCAGGCGGAAUUCCUGGUGUAGCGGUGAAAUGCGUAGAUAUCAGGAGGAACACCGGCGGCGAAGGCGGCCUGCUGGACCGUAACUGACGUUGAGGCUCGAAAGCGUGGGGAGCAAACAGGAUUAGAUACCCUUGUA